CUUAACAUAUUGUUUUUGAAUUAACAAAAACAAGAUAAUAUUUUGUAUUUCUAAAAAAUAAGAUAAUACUUAUAUAUUGUCUUGUUAUCUUUAAAUAAUAUUUUUAUUAUAAAAAUUAAGAUAUAAAAUAAUAUAUAAUUAAAUAUUAAUGAAGAAAAAACAUUUGUAUAAAAAUAUAUUCUAAAACAUUUCUAAUAUAUGAGUGUUUUGAAAACUUCAACACAAUAAUUAGUAUAUAUAUAUUUAAAUGAAAUUUUUGGUGGUAUAUAAAUUAUUUUAUCUUUUGUAUAAACUUGUUAAGAAUAUAAAUAAUAACUUAACAUAUUGUUUUUGAAUUAACAAAAUAUAAAAUAAUAUCUAAUUAUAUAAAAAAUUGUUUGGUUCUCUCCAGAACGCGCCACCUAGGAUCCAGCGUGGAAAGUCGUGCAAGGAGAGCGCGACACGUCAUCUCCCUCUCUCAAAACGCAUCGUUUCAUUUAACUUAGAACUCUAAUUAUUGCGGGCUUUGCUAUGUGUUUUAGGCUUAUGUUUCGAUGUGGAGAACAGCCCAUAAGAUCGAAACUAGCUUCUUCUUCGAUUUUAGGGUUCAUCUUAGUCUUCGAUCCGUGAGCAUCUUCACCACCAACAAUGGAGUUCCUGGAGGAGGCGUGAGUUGAAUGGUCUUGCAAAAUUUCUGUUAGAAAAUUUGAUUGCGUCUUUACGGCUUCAUUUCUUAUCCUUCGAAACGUUAGAAGUCAUUAAUACAUCGCUUUAACAAACUUCUUAAUACCGUCAACCAAUCAGACAUUGAAUACAUCUUAUCUCUCUGUAAGUCGGUCUCUCUGCCUCUAUAAAGUUAAUCCCUCUUUCCUUGAAAACGACGAAGCAAUCUUACUUCCGCUAAAAUGGCUUCCUCAUCAAUUCUUCUUUCUGAUCUGAAGUUUGGCCAAUGUUGUUCUUCCGCUGUUGAGGUUAGAUUGCUCAGAUUCUGGGAAGACAUGAAUGUCAAACGCGGUGACGAGUUAUGCUCUUCAAAGCCAUGUUCAUAUCUGGAACAUCCUUUCUUGAUAAGUACGAUGACAACUCUGGGACAAAUCUGGCGUCAUACUUCAUAGAUGCAUGGUCUCUGGUUGCAACGCUUAAGAAUCUGUCUGGUUAGUUCUGCGUUUAAACUCCAGGAAGAUAUCAUAUCAUCAUCAUCUGGUUGUUGCUAUUAUCAUCUGAGGUUUCUUUGUUUUAAACCACCAGUAAAAAAAAUUAUCUUGAUCAUAUAGACUUGUGCUAAUCAUGUACUGAUAUACACCAAAUGAUGAUGAAACUGAUAUCUUGAUCAUAUAGAUUUGUGCUAGACCGUGGUCGUUUGAAUUUCUUGAGCUAUAGGUUAAGAGAAGAGUUUGGGGAUAACUGUGGAAUCGUGAAUGUUUCAAUCAUGGUUAAGAGAAGAGUCUUUGUCUACUGAGAGUAAGCAAACGGCGAUGAAAGACUAUGGAGCAUGUUCGUCGCAAGAAGCGGAGACGGGUCUGUGGAGACUGAGGUCGGAGCCUCCGUCUAUUGAUGGAUAUGGUGGUCGUAUUGUUACAGGAGUUUCUGUUUGGUGUGUGCUUCAACGGCCAACGUAAAUUUGGUGGUGUUUGGCUGCAGUGCUUCACAAAGACGUAUGAUAUUUUUUGUUACUAUACAACAAGUCAUAUUUGUUGUUUGGAACAAAACGAUUACAAGGUUCAAUGUUAAAGUCAAACACGAGACUGAUUCGUGAGUUAUAUAUUUUUUUUUUUUACUAUUUCAAGAUUCAUCAUCUUUGGUGUUUUUUUUUCCAAUGUUUCAAUUUGUAUAAUCAACUCACCUUUGUUUAGAUGUUGUGUUGGUCUAUGUAGUUAAUAUUCACGGAUGUUAUUCUCAGUAAGUAAAUAUGAAUACGUUGUUUGCAAUUUUAUAAAAAAAAAA